AACGGACCAAAUCUGUAGCUUGCUACGGAUUUGGUUAGUGGCAGACGGGUGAGUAAUGCAUAGGAAUCUACCUAGUAGUAUGGGAUAGCCACUGGAAAUGGUGGGUAAUACCGUAUAAUCCCCGCGGGGGAAAGAUUUAUCGCUAUUAGAUGAGCCUAUGUCGGAUUAGCUAGUUGGUGGGGUAAUGGCCUACCAAGGCAGUGAUCUGUAGCUGGUCUGAGAGGAUGAUCAGCCACACUGGAACUGAGACACGGUCCAGACUCCUACGGGAGGCAGCAGUGGGGAAUAUUGGACAAUGGGCGCAAGCCUGAUCCAGCUAUGCCGCGUGAGUGAGGAAGGCCUUAGGGUUGUAAAACUCUUUCAGUAGGGAAGAUAAUGACGGUACCUACAGAAGAAGUCCCGGCAAACUCCGUGCCAGCAGCCGCGGUAAUACGGAGGGGGCAAGCGUUGUUCGGAAUUAUUGGGCGUAAAGGGCAUGUAGGCGGUUUGGUAAGUUAAAGGUGAAAUACCAGGGCUUAACCCUGGGGCUGCUUUUAAUACUGCAGGACUAGAGUCCGGAAGAGGAU
rnacentral:rRNA from 1 species